AGGGCAGAGAGGUCAGGAGGAACGACACAGGAGAGGAGCGAGAAUAUUCAGAGAAAAGGCAAGGCAAACUAAGUUUGCGGGAAUUAUUUGUCUUCAUAAGGAGUGACAGGGGGAAUUGGAAUGCUAUUAUAGCAACUCACAGCCUCCCACUUCCACGGCUGCUUUCAUGCAUUAGUGAAUCGCUUUGGGAUAGAAGCGGCAGACAGCGAAGUAGUUCACUAGCAGGAAGCAUGGACCAUCAACGGCUGGCAAUCUGGUAGGAAAGGGAAUUCCCUCUUUUGCAUGUGCUGAAGUCAGCAAGAGCGUGUUCACUGAUUGGUUAGUCCCUUUCUGGGAUGUGCUGAUGGUGGGGCCCAAUAUCUAUAUAGCAGAUAUGCACAUCCAGGGUGCUGACUGAGGAACCUUGAACCUCUCUGACAGAGAUGGGGGCCUGUGGCCCUCCAGAUGCUGUUGGACCCCCAAACUCCCAUUAUCCCUGACUAAUGCUGGCUUGGGCUGAUAGGAGUGGGAUGUCAACAGCAUCUGGAAAACCACAGGGUCCCCAACAUUGUUCUUCUGCCACCUCCCCACAGCUAUAGGUAACAUUGGUAGCAGUGCUGGAAUUACACUUAUUUUUGUGAUGCUAAUGCUUUUCAAAGGCUGUGUGGGUCAUUAUUUAAUUAAGAUUAGGGGGAAUUGGGUGUUGUGCUAUUGAGCUGUUGGGCUUUAGUAAGGCCUCUCUACUACUUAUCCAUAAAUUGAGCAUUUGGCAGGAAUAUCUCUCCCAUUUCUAUCACCCCACAGCAAAAGAAGAAGAAGAAGAGUUUGGAUUUGAUACCCUGCUUCAUCACUACCCGAAGGAGUCUCAAAGCGGCUAACAUUCUCCUUUCCCUUCCUCUCCCACAGCAAACACUCUGUGAGGUGAGUGGGGCUGAGAGACUUCAGAGAAGUAUGACUGGCCCAAGGUCACCCAGCAGCUGCAUGUGGAGGAGCGGAGACGCGAACCCAGUUCACCAGAUUACGAGUCUACCGCUCUUAACCACUACACCACACUGACCAAAAGUCAGUGGUUCUUACUACUAGUGAACUGCUUCAUCCGUUAACACUGCUUUAAGAUAUUUAGAAAAUGCCAGCAAAAAUACUGGGAGUCUGAGAUGGUGGAAGUUGGAGUCUGUCAACAUCUUGCAGGCCGGUGGGGCACAGGUUCCCCAUCCUUGAUGUAAAUAAUUUGUGUUGACUUAUCAGAGGAAAACAGAUCCUGCAACAGCUUCCAUAAAUUCAAAAAGCUCAUUGCGCUAGCCACAAUAUUAACAAUAACACAUGAAUGCAAAGAUAUUGCUUGUGAGAAAAAGCCUAGAAACAUUUGGUAGAAUGAAUAAAUGGAAGAGACAAGUUUUACCAAUUAUACUGAUUGGUUGCUAAAUCAAGCUGAAAGAGAGAUUCUGAAUCAAGGUACAGGUAGGUGGGGAAACGAGUUGUGGAUGGUGCCCAUUGUAGAGCAGAAGGCAGGGAAACCAACAGGAGCCACCCUGAGUUGCCAUAUUGAGCUAUUUUUUAAGAAGACCCCAAAGUUGUUGAGCUCCUUUUUCUUUCUUUUUUACGAAAACACCACAAAUAUGUGAUUUUUCAAUUGGCUUGCCUAAGAUUCAGGAUAAAGCGCCGCCUUUGGGAAGUCCUGCCCAGACGCCAAUUCUGCCUUUGAACUCCCGGUAAUGUCUUGGAAAAUCCGGACAUAUGGCAGCCCUAGGAUAGGCAGAGUUAACCAGUUCUUGUUGGGGCUCCAUCUUCCUCCCUGCUGAGUUGUGUAAUUAAUUCUACUUUUGUCUCUAUCCUCUUCUCUACACAGUUCUACAAGGACAACACUGAGAUUGAGAAGGAGGAAACCCCUACAGACCAGCCUCCACUGAAAAAAAUACACAGAAAAAUGGCAAGUGCUUUAGACUGAAUACAAAGGAUAUAGCAAAACUGCAUUAGAAUCCUAAUGGAGAGAUGGAAGACAACUGAGCCAAAGGGGGUUGGAUAUCCAUGAAGACUUAUGAAUGACACCAUAAAGUUUAAAGAAAUGCCAGAUGGGUGGAAUGGAGUAAUGCACUCCUACAGAAACAGUAAGCAUAUAAAAAUGUAGAAUAGUAAGGAAUGAAAUUGAUAUGGCCACAAGACAAAUUUAUGGGGUAACAGAGCAUCCAUAUGCAAUUUACAUCUGCACUGGGAACAGCUGCUGAACACUAUUUCUGCACUGAUCAUACAUUUGGAAAAACAGAAAAGUACGCCACUUCAUAUUCUACUUGCUACAAAGGUCUCCUUAAGAAAUACAAUGUAGAUUCAGAAAUAUAAUAUGAACUCAGACAGAAAGAUAUGAGCCUGACUCGAAAUGCGUUUAUCCCUACAAAGUCACCAAUAUCCAAUGAGGAGUGUUACAGGUGAACUAAAACAAACCCACUGUUAGUAGUGAGAAGGAGGGAGAAAUUUGAUUAAGUUGGCAGUUAAAGGCAAAGUUACCAAAUUUCCAUUUUCUGAAAUAAUAUUGUUACACGCCACCCCAAUCCCUGAGUGGUGUGAGAAUCCAGGGGUACCAGGCCUGCUUACCAGGGUCUGUGAUUGCUUUUGGACAAGGAGACACAGCAGAGACUGUUGCGUAUUUAUGGUAUGUGGUUUAUUUACACAUAUAUGAAACCUAGAGAGAGUGCAUUGCAUUCACAUCCCAAGAGGAUCCUGUUCCUUCCAUUUCUGCGGCCUUGGAUUCCAAGAGACCCCAAACAUUGUGUCCGACCCUCUCUGAAGCAUGACCACCUUCUCACUGGCCCCCCUCUUAAGCUUGCAAAGCUCAUCCUGCCCCCCCCCCCCGAUGCUUACAUAAUCCAAACUGACAUCCUACACACUCUGCCCGCUAACACACAGCUGGGAGAGGGGCCUCACUCAGGGGCGUAGGAAGGGGGGCGGAGCACCCCAGGGGUCCUCACUGAGGGGGGUGACAUUUCAGCAUGCCGCCCGCAACUCCCAAGCCUACCCCGAGCUGUCGGGGUAAGGGGGUGAGCUGCAACGCUUUGCUGGUGGCGUUUCCCCCUUCCCCCUUUGUUUUGACAGCUUGAGGAAGGCUUGGGAGUCAUGGGCAGGUGGCGCACUGAAUGUCCACCAUGGGCGUCUUGCUCCGCCCCCGACUGCAAGGUUUGCACACUGCUCUGGGCACCCGAGCGGCUUUCCUGCACCUGGGAGGGCUCCCUCUGCACCACACACCCCUCGGGAGCAUGCCCGUCCUGGGCAGCACGGACAUAUGCUCUGCUGCUGGCCUCAACCUCCUUGUCUGGCAGACAAGGAGGUUGAGGCCAAAACCCUCCUAAUGGUUUUCUUGAUGUGUUAAUGCCUUGGCCAUUAUUGGCUUUGUUCUUCCAAUGACCCACAUUCAGCUAGCUAUGGCAGUGGCCUGGCUCCUUAGCAUAAGCUGAAUCUAGCCGUGUUUGGCCCAGUUUCAUCAAACCUUCAUUAUCCUUUGGAAUUUGAUGAAUUUCGCAAUGACGUUCUUCACCCAAGUCAUGUGUACAGAAAUGCAUGUACUAUGGUAAAAGUGUGCAUACUGAAAAUCCUGCAUAUAUUAGUCAGCUGCACUCUCCAGUUCCCAAUACAGCAGGUUUAGUGUGUUUCCCAUGGGGGCUUUCAAAGAGGACACCCCUCCAGCCACAGUUGUUUCUCUGGCCUGCACACUCUUCUUCCUCCUCCAGCUGUGCUACCUUUCCUCAUCUCUAGGUGGAGAUGGGAAACAUUGGGGGCAAAUCCUGGUAGAGAUAAGGAUUAUUCCCACAGUGUGAAAUAGCUGUGAAUGCUGAUUAAUUGCGUCUUCCUUUGAUCUCCUCUUCAUUAGUCAGCUUCCUCCACUUUCGAGCAUAAUUAAUACAUUCCUGAUCAAAGACCUAUCAGAAGGCAAGCGCAAGCAACUCUUGUUUCAUUGUGUGUUCCUAUUAAAAGAAGAACUGUAGCAGCAAUCAACCUGGAGAAGUAGCAAGAGCUUCCACUUUGACGGUGGAACCAGUCAAACCGGCCCCAAAAAGUCAAUUACAAAGAGGAGGGCUGUUUGAUCAUUAAUUUUAGAAUCAAGAACACAGCAUGGGAUGCCCCACUUAUUUCACUCUCAUUCCCUCUCCCCAGAUAUCAGUAAACACAUGGAAGGGAUGGCAGAGAAGUUCUGGUCCAAGCUUGAGGUCUUUGGAAUGCCUGUAUAUCAAGCGAGUGGUUCUGCUGGUUUCAGGAUAAGGAUGACAUGGCGCACCUUUUGCCUCUGGCUGCAUGUAGAUCAUGCAUUUAGAGCACAUUCAGAGCACAUUUGGUGCACAUGGUUUCCCCCAAAGACUCCCAAGAAGUGUAGUUUGUUAAGGGUGCUGGGAACUGUAGCUCUGUGAAGGGUAAAUGGCAGUUCCCAGGAUUCUUGGGGACAGGCGGACCAUGUGUUUUAAAAAUAUGGUGCAUAAACAGCCAGAGGUUAUUCUGAGCCCUUGGUAAGUGGCGUGACACUUAUCACACCUUCCCAUCCCAUCCCAAACCCAGACCUUUUAGAGGGCUGGAGGAAUAACUGGCAGCAGGUAGGGCCAGGGUGGGGAUGUUGAACUCAAACUCCCACCAUCCCCUGCUGCAUUCCUCCUGCUGCUUUUUGUUCUGGUUUUAUGCUGAUGCUCUUUUGAUGGUUUAAGUUUGUGGUGAGCAACCUCUGGCUCCAGUGCUUCGUGAAACCCAUGCCCAAAUUCAAAAGCCAUGGAAGGUGUUCCAUUAGGGCAAAUGGGGCACUACCCUGCAACCUGAGCCAGGCCUGAUCUGUCCACCUCCUUGCUUACAAGCAGCCCAGAAGGUGGCAUUCCUUCUUAACUUCAGUAUUGUACAGUGUCUAAUGGCUGUGGCUCAGAAAGAGAGUGCCUGUUUUGCCUGCAGAAGGUUCCAGGUUCAGUCCCCAGAAUCUCUGAAUAGGGCUGCGAGAGACAGUGGCGUAGCGUGGGGGGUGCAGGGGGGGCCGGCCGCACCGGGCGCAACAUCUGGGGGUUAGGGUUAGGGGGCGCAAAUCCACGGGUUAGGGGGCGCAAAUUACUUGCCUUGCCCCAGGUGCUGACAACCCACGCUACGCCACUGGUGAGAGAGAUCCCUGUCUCAAAUCCUGGAGAUCCACUGCUAGUCAAUGUAGACCAGGGGUAGUCAACCUUUUCAUACCUACCACCCACUAAUGCAUCUUUCUUGGUGGUAAAAUUUCCUUACUGCCCACCGGUGCUCGAUGGAAGGAGGAUUCAGCUUGUGCAGUAGAACCCCCUAUCUUCCUGGCAGCAGACGACAGAACCAUGAAACAGGUGUAAAAUACUCAAGCAAGAGUUCUAUUUACAACCUUACAAACAGAAAGCAUGUGGGUGUUCUCUUUUGCAGGCAAAUUCAAACUGCAACUUCUCCUCCUUUUGUACUCAUCACCAGCUGUACCUAAUCAACCCAGAAACCCACACCCAGAACUCACAGAAACAGUUAAAGCCCUAAACGGCCUCGGUCCAGUAUAUCUGAAGGAGCGUCUCCUCCCCCAUCAUUCUGCCCGGACACUGAGGUCCAGCAUCGAGGGCCUUCUGGUGGUUCCCUCGCUGCGAGAAGCCAUGUUACAGGGAACCAGGCAGAGGGCCUUCUCGGUAGUGGCGCUUGCCCUGUGGAACACCCUCCCAGCAGAUGUCAAGGCAAUAAACAACUAUUUCACUUUUAAAAGACAACUGAAGGCAGCCCUGUUUAGUGAAGUUUUUAAUGUCUGACGCUGUAUUGUUUUUAAUAUUUGGUUGGAAGCUGCCCAGAGUGACUGGGGAAACCCAGCCAGAUGGGCGGGGUAUAAAUAAUAAAUUAUUAUUACUGUAUUUUUCGCUCCAUAAGGAGCACGGACCAUAAGGCGCACCUAGUUUUUAGAGGGGAAAUCAAGAAAAGAAGAGCUCUCCCGGCUGGAGAGGUUGCUUGGCUAAAGAAGCCAUAGCCGUGCGCAGGCUCUCCUGGCCGGAGGGGCUGCGUGCAGCUAUGGGAGAAGCCAAGACAGCGAGCAGGAUGGAUCCCGCCCGCUUCCUCUUUAGUCGCGCACAACCUCUCCAGCCGGGAGAGGCUGCACACGGCUAAAGAAGCCAUAGCCACGUGCAGCCUCUCCCGGCCAGAGGGGCUGCGCGCAGCUAUGGCAAUACCCCCACCUCCCACAAAAGCCCACAGGAGCCGCGCACCCUUUAAGAAGCACAUGGCUCCUGCGGUCUUUUCUAUGAGGAGGGAGAAGGGACUGACUGGCCACAUCAGUCCCUUCUCCCUCCUGGGGAAAAGCCCGCAAGAGCCACGCGGAGCUUGUGUGCGGCUCUUGGGGGCUUUUCCUGCCUGCCCCCCCUGCAUUCGCUCCAUAAGACGCACACACAUUUCUCCUUACUUUUUAGGAGGGGAAAAGUGCGUCUAACGGAGUGAAAAAUACGGUGUAUUAUUAUAGUUCUUAAAGUUACAAUAAUUUUUUCUCUUUCUUUGCAGAAUGACUCCUAACACUACCACUGACCUAGAACCCUGAGAUACUCACUAGUGGGCGGUAGGGACCAGUUUGACAACUCCUGGUGUAAACAAUGCUGCGCUAGAUGGACAAGUGGGUAAAGGGCUUCUAUUGCUAACACUUUGUCCUUUAUUACUUGAAGAAUUCAGCAGGGAGGAGGAAGGGCAUACAACAAAUAUUAGUUGUCUCUGCCUGUCAUUGGACUCUGGCUCCACCUACUGUUGGCCUCCUGCCUUACACUGUACCAGUCCCAAUGGACACCAGCUGCCAGUGUUUAAAAACCUUCUGCAAGUGAUAUGUUCUGGAUCAUUGAUUUGAUGGGCAAGGAAGAGAUGGGCGGGAGAGAAAAUGGUGUAGCAAUGAGAGAGCAGUCAGGCUUUUUUCUUCUGACGGACUCCUUCCCCAUCUGCCUCCUUGGUUAGGUGACCGUAGGUGGUCUGAGAUGAUAAAUAGGUGCUAAAUAAAGAUGAUAAAUAGGAGAUAAAUAAGAUGCUAAAUAUAUCGAAGGCUGCUACCUCAAAAUGAUAAUUGCCAUUGUCUCCUCUGAGAGAAAAAUGGAUUUGCAGAAUGUUGGAUGUUUUCAAAUAUGCCCAAUUAACCAGUUUAAUUGACUCUGAAAUGGUGCACAGAAAAUUAAUAAUUUUCAGAUAAUCUAUUUUGUUCAGUAUCAAAAUAAUUUUCUGGCAUGUCAGUGAGGACUGGCCCCCUUCAUCACUUAAAUUACUUAAAUAAUUGAUAUGAUGGGCAUGAUUCAGUCAAAGUUAAGCCUCUUAUCAGUUAAGUCCAACUGAUUUCAGUGAGGAAGAUGUACAGUAGGUAGAUAUUUAAUUCUCGCACUGAAGCCUGAGUUUAAGAAGCAUGGCCACCACAGAUUAAAAAUCAGAGAGUCAUAAACAGUUGUAAUAGAGCACAGCUCACAAGGUAACCUUCCAAUCCAUUGUUUAAUGAAACAAAUUCAUGGGGAGUACAGAGAAAUCUGAAGUGUGGCUAUAUUCUGCUUCACAACACAUCGUUGGAACGUGGUUUCAAUUAAAGACUUAGCAGCAUUGAGAUAAGAUGAAAUGGAGUACAUUUUGAUUCAUGGUGAUAAUUUGUUGUUUGCGCCAACCUAAGGGAAACUAGUUUUAAAGGUAGC
rnacentral:lncRNA from 1 species